CCUACGGGUGACAGCAGUGAGGAAUAUUGGUCAAUGGCCGCAGGGCUGAACCAGCCAAGUCGCGUGAGGGAUGACGGUCCUAUGGAUUGUAAACUUCUUUUGUCAGGGAGCAAAGUGCGCCACGUGUGGCGCUUUGCGAGUACCUGAUGAAAAAGCAUCGGCUAACUCCGUGCCAGCAGCCGCGGUAAUACGGAGGAUGCGAGCGUUAUCCGGAUUUAUUGGGUUUAAAGGGUGCGCAGGCGGAAUGUCAAGUCAGCGGUAAAAUUUCGGGGCUCAACCCCGUCGUGCCGUUGAAACUGGCGUUCUUGAGUGAGCGAGAAGUAUGCGGAAUGCGUGGUGUAGCGGUGAAAUGCAUAGAUAUCACGCAGAACUCCGAUUGCGAAGGCAGCAUACCGGCGCUCAACUGACGCUCAUGCACGAAAGCGUGGGUAUCGAACAGGAUUAGAUACCCUGGUAGUC
rnacentral:rRNA from 1 species